rnacentral:lncRNA from 1 species
UGAUUCUGUAUAAAUCAAAAGGUGAAAUUCAUGAAGAAAAUGUAAGAAAUGGGAAAAGCAUUGAAAUGCUUCUCCUCACCUUAAUCUUUCUUCUGGUGAUGAAUCUUAUGAUGGCCUGGAAUCAAGUCUAGCCUUUUGAGUUUUUUUCACUGGAGCUAGGAUUUCAUGGUGGAAGUCUAGGUGACCUUCUCUAAAUUCCUACUUUGGAAAUCAACCAGUUUCAGCUGUUUUAAUAUGUUGCAGUCCGUGUAUCAAUCCUUUAAAAAAGAUAAGCAAAGAAGUACAGAAAAUUGCAUGGGAAAAAAGAGCUGGUGUUAAAAAGACUCACGAUGAAGAGAUUUGUCGCCACUUACUGGACUGACUUAAAGAACCAAAAGGACAAAAAAAGAAGGAAGAUCCACCUGAUCCUGAAGAUCAAGCAGAAGACACCAGGAUUGUUUGGCUAUCUCCUAGAAAAGGAUACGUUUUAUUUUAGCAUUGAAGCAAUGCAAAGUUGUUAACCCUUGAUAAUACUAUUGAUUUCUCAGUAGAAGUUUUUUUCAUUCUGGUUUCUUGCACUCAUUCCAUACCUCCUGUACAAAAAAAAGAACUAGUAAGACUGAAAGGCAAACUUCUCAUGGCAACCCCUGAAUAGUAAAGUCAGUGUUCUUUUCAUGCAGUGGCAUCCCUGUGGAGGGACAUAAAUACAGCGGUUAUGUGUCCAUCUCAGCUUAGGGGUCAGUCUUAGAAACAGAUCAAGGGAGUGUUGUCACUCAUUAAAUUGGUAUUGAGAGGAAGCUUGCUCUGGUUCUAUACUGGAUGGCCCCAUAGCACAGUAGUGCUGAGGAGAACAGCUAAUUCUUUACCAGGCUACAGAGGAUUUGGGAAAUCUGUUUUUGGGCAAUUGCUUUAAAGAUAUGCUUGGCAAAAAUAUAGAGUACUUAAGGAAACUACAAGAGCUUUGUCUCUGGAGCUGUUCUCUCCACUGGGUUUUGCUGCACCACACAACUCUUUUUGAUCUUAGGAUGACCUGUCUCCUGAACUAGGUGAUUACAAAAUGCAAUUUCUUUCCAUUUCUCUGUAGGUAACAAAAAUAAAAGAAACAAAUGUGUAACA